rnacentral:rRNA from 1 species
GAACAUACCUAACUGUUGCUUCGGCGGGCAGGGGGUCCCCCCGGGGACGCCCUCCCGGCCCCGCCCCCCUACCAGGGGACGUGGCGCCCGCCGGAGGAUACCCAACUCUAUUUUAACGACGUUUCUUCUGAGUGGCACAAGCAAAUAAUUAAAACUUUUAACAACGGAUCUCUUGGUUCUGGCAUCGAUGAAGAACGCAGCGAAAUGCGAUAAGUAAUGUGAAUUGCAGAAUUCAGUGAAUCAUCGAAUCUUUGAACGCACAUUGCGCCCGCCAGCAUUCUGGCGGGCAUGCCUGUUCGAGCGUCAUUUCAACCCUCAAGCUCUGCUUGGUGUUGGGGCCCUACGGUUGACGUAGGCCCUCAAAGGUAGUGGCGGACCCUCCCGGAGCCUCCUUUGCGUAGUAACUAACGUCUCGCAUCGGGAUCCGGAGGGACUCUUGCCGUAAAACCCCCCAAUUUUUCA